rnacentral:tRNA from 1 species
CAAAGUGUAGCUUAAUAUAAAGCAUCUAGUUUACACCUAGAAGACAUUAAUUAAUAUAAUCACUUUGA